rnacentral:rRNA from 1 species
GACGAACGCUGGCGGCGUGCUUAACACAUGCAAGUCGAACGGAAAGGCCCUGCUUUUGUGGGGUGCUCGAGUGGCGAACGGGUGAGUAACACGUGAGUAACCUGCCCUUGACUUUGGGAUAACUUCAGGAAACUGGGGCUAAUACCGGAUAGGAGCUCCUGCUGCAUGGUGGGGGUUGGAAAGUUUCGGCGGUUGGGGAUGGACUCGCGGCUUAUCAGCUUGUUGGUGGGGUAGUGGCUUACCAAGGCUUUGACGGGUAGCCGGCCUGAGAGGGUGACCGGCCACAUUGGGACUGAGAUACGGCCCAGACUCCUACGGGAGGCAGCAGUGGGGAAUAUUGCACAAUGGGCGGAAACCUGAUGCAGCAACGCCGCGUGCGGGAUGACGGCCUUCGGGUUGUAACCCGCUUUCGCCUGUGACGAAGCGUGAGUGACGGUAAUGGGUAAAGAAGCACCGGCUAACUACGUG